AUGCAAGAUAGAAAGUUAAGUGAAUCUUUUGAUGUUGUCCCCUCCGCAUUAGUAUGGAAUUCAGAAAUUAUCUUGUUAUCUUUGCCCACUAGCAUUUUCUAGACUAAUAAUGGUAGUGCAGAUUUCAGCUAGAGCUUGCAGAGUUUUAAAAUAUGUUGACCAAAUCGUUUCUUCAAAACCUGGUUCACAAAUACUAUAUCUUGCUAUUGGCUUCUAUGAGUGUGGCUGGACUGAAUCCUUCCACUUUGCUCAUAGCAUUUUAGGUGGAAUGGUGAAUCUUGAAGCGAAAGUACCAAACGGUACGAGCACUUUCUGGCCCUAUAGCUUGAGUUGAAGCCUGGGAUAAAGGUCGUUUUUCUUAUGAAGAUCAAAUAACCCAUGGUUUUGGAUGUCAAGUGUGGAAUAGGCAGACCAUUAAGAGAAAUUCCAAGAUUUAGGUUUAAUUCCCGUUUCGCGCUUUCACCUCUCUUCAUAUCUGUGAAUACUGAUGUGUUCGGGUUUAGACAUUCUCAUAUGCAUGAUUAAUGCAACUGAAGUGAUUCAUGUUUUUCUUACUUUGAACUGAAAACCUGUGGGGGCAUGAUUUUGAGGAGGCGAUCCCGAGCACCAAUAAGUUAGAGAAGUUCGACCUCAACCUUUCCAGGAAUUAAUCUAUUUUGGAACGGAGGUCGCCACCAAGAACGGGUAACAUGGAGGCGUGCCUUAGCCUGGAGCCCAGCAAGAAGAUCGUCGGGAGCUUUGGGACAUUUGAGACGGCCGUUCUCCAUGUGGCCAACGCCAGCCAGCUGCAGGCAUUGCGCCGGCCUCGGCAGGAGUCGGUCAAGCCCAAUUGUAGCAUCUAUUGACCAAUGCAAGCUCCAUCAGGAUGUGCGUAGUGUCCAUAAGUUCCCUUUUGGCCAGUACAUGGAGAAAAAAACAUGGAAUGUACAACAAUCCUACAUGAAACAUUCUGAACGAAGUCUUAUUGAGCUACCCCUAGAAAUUUUUGCAGCUUCUGUGAACUCUUGUUUUAUGUUCUAUAGGGCCAACUUGCAUUUUCACGUCAAGCAUGGCUGAUUAUCAGAGGGCAAGGAAAGAUGGAGUAGCAGAAGCAUUGCUUACGAUGAGUUCAUCGGGUCAAUAGUGCACAUUAACAAGCAUUGCCUGUUGUCCGCCUUCGCCUACUUUGAUGAGGACGAUAGCGGGUACAUCACCGUUGACCGCUGGAAGAGGUGUGCUGGGAGUACAACACAAGCUGACCGGCAUCGCGACAUCGCCAGGGAGGUCGGCAAUGACAACAUGCGUUCGUAAUGACUUGAAGAAAGCAUAUGAGAAGCGAGUAUAGGAGCUUUAAUAUUAGAGCAACAGGGGAGGAGCAAAUGAUUGAAGGGCUAUCAGCCGUGUAAAAGAAAGCUGAGGAUAACGUCACCAGGUGGAAAACUAUAUUUGGUUGACAUAAUAACACUAGCAAAGAACUUAAGGUAGAGGUGAUGGAAGAGAGGCUAUUAGAAGACUUGACUCGUGAAGUUUGUUCUGUGCUUUGGGUUUUAGCAUUACCUGGUUUGAAGAGUAGACUUCCAUCUUUGGAACAACUUGGAACUGUCAACCGGAUUGAUUCUUCUCUUAAACGUCUGGAAUCAUUUGCUUCCAGCUCUCUUACUGGAUUUCUUAUGCUUAAUGUUGACACUGCCCUAACUGCUUUGGGAAUAACUGUUGAAAUGUUCACUUGGACAGAUAGUGAAGCAGUGACUAAAGUAAUACCCUUUUAUGGUGCAUUGAUUCACCUUGCUGUUGCAACAAACCAGGCUGAGCUGAGGCAGUUUGUUAGAAAGGAUAUAUUUUCUUCUAUAACACAGGGCUUAUCUGUUGAGUUGAAUGUCGCUGUUAAUGCGGAGCUUAUUGGACUUUGUCAAGGAAUAUAUCUAUAUCUGUCAGACAAAGAUCGUGCGCCUAAACAGAUGUGACCAAAUCUUUUUAGGCUGACAAGUAUCACUGGAACUGGUAAGUAUCACUAAAGGCUUGAUUCAGCAGCACGUGAUAUGUCCCCCUCACCAGUUACCAUCUGAGUUGUCUUCCCCACCUCUGUUAUCACUCCGACACGGCCGACAUCUCUACCACGGGGAGCCAAGUAGAUAUAAGAAGACAAUGUUAAAUUUAUGGGCAAACUCAAUCCGUCUUGACAAGGUACCAAGGUUGUUGGGCUGAUCGAUCAACUCUCAAGUCAGUGGGAUGACCAGCUGCUGAGGCAAACUUUUAUCUCAGAAGACGCUCGUGUGAUCCUUAGCAUCCCAAUCUGCGAACACUGUGAGGAUCUCAUAGCAUGGCAACCUGACAGCAAGGGCAUGUUUACAGAGUUCACCUCGAUCUGCUGCAGAAUCAAAAGACCAGGCCACUGGGAGAGAGCUCGUCGGGUAACAGGGGGCAAGACAGCUUAUGGCGUAAUAUCUGGAAGUGUACUGCCAAUCCCCGAAGGAGGUUCUUCUAGCCCUGUUGAAAAUGCCAAAUGAAGUGAAGAUGCGAGCUAUUGCUCUUCUAUGGGCCUGGUGGAGUGAAAGAAAGAAAGUGAAUCACAGGCAAAAGCGCAUGCCAGAGAUGGAAUUUCAAUUUAAUAUCGCUAGGUGUGCUGAAUGGAAAGAGUUCCUCGAGCCUAAACCUCCUGGUGUGCAAAAACAUGUUUCUUCCUGGCUGAAACCCCCCACUGGUUUUAUCAAACUGAACGUGGAUGCAGUGUUCCGAGGCGAGUCAAAGGAGGGUGGGUGGGGCCUAAUUGCUAGGGAUGCUGAUGGAGACAUCCUUUGUGCUGCAGCCGGCAUCUAACAACUUAGUCUGGUGCUUUGCAAGCUGAGGCUACGACCCUUCUGCAGGCAAUCCAAUUUACUGAAAUGCAAGUUAUGGGGCGUGUAAUUUUGGAAACUGAUUCCCUGGGCCUGCAACAAUAAGUUACCUCUACAUCAUUAGACCGGUCUCUAUUGGGGGUGUUGUUCCGUGAAGCCAAAUGUCUCCAGUUAGGUAUCAUAGAGGCCAAAGUCAUGUACUGCCCGAGAGCUUGUAAAAAAUCAGCACAUGUGCUGGCGAAUCUUGGUAGCCAGAGUGCCUCUGUGAACCCGUGUUGUGACCGCCGAUUGUGUCGGUCGGAGGUAAGUUUGGAAUGCAUGGUGUUUCAGUUCAACAAAAAAGAUACUACCAUAAUCGUAGAGAGGAGAUCAAGUAUUUCAUCUAUAUUUUUUUGCAAGAAUUAUUUUGAAUUUGUAACAUGUGAAAUAACUUUAUCAACAUUUUAGACGUGCGUUGCACGUGCAAGCUUA